GCCCGCGCCCUCGCCGCCGCAGCACCGUGCGCGCGACGCAGCUCCUACACGCACGACGCACUCUCAUACUAAUAACAAUGAAUUCCCACAUCGGCCCCCUCGCAGCUGUGCUACUAUAAUAGUUUAUGUGAUCGCCACCGGCCCAGUGCUCUCCCGGCCGCGAGACCGGUCCAGAUCGGGAAGCUGCGCCGGCCUCACGCCCGACUACAGUGGAAUGCGGCAAUUUUAACUACUGCGGACCCCGGGGACCCAUAUAAGAAUAGGGAUCGAACGAUUACAAUCCCAGCCGUAAGAGCGAGGCGCCUGGCGGUGGUCGGAUGCAGCUCGCACUGGUGAUGCAUCAACGAUGAGUCGCCGCGCGCGGCCGUGACAUGGGAGCGCAGGCAUGGGCUGGCGCGCCGUGCAACCGCCGCACAUCGCCGCCGGCUUGCUCCUACUGCUGCUAGUUAACCUGCCAGUAACCUGCCACCAAGACCACCAAGAUGCUGUGCACAUCACGGCGAUCCUCGGCGAGAGCGUGGUGUUCAACUGCCAGGUGGACUUCCCGGAAGACAUCCCGGUGCCGUACGUGUUGCAGUGGGAGAAGAAGGUAGGCGAAACGGGACAGGACAUCCCGAUCUACAUCUGGUACGAGAGCUACCCGACGCACAGCGGCGAGGGCUACGAGGGCAGGGUGUCGCGCGUGGCGCCCGACUCGCCCUACGGCGCGGCCAGCCUCAACCUCACCAAUAUCCGCGAGUCUGACCAGGGUUGGUACGAGUGUAAGGUGGUGUUCCUCAACCGGUCACCCAACCAGCACAAGAAUGGCACAUGGUUCCACUUGGACGUGCACGCGCCACCACGCUUCUCCAUCACACCGGAAGACAUUAUUUACGUUAAUUUAGGAGACGCCAUAAUCCUCAACUGCCAAGCGGAGGGCACGCCGACGCCCGAGAUCCUGUGGUACAAGGACGCGAACCCCGUGGAGCCGUCCGGCACGGUGGGCAUCUUCAACGACGGCACGGAGCUGCGGAUCAGCAACAUUCGCCACGAGGACAUCGGCGACUAUACGUGCAUCGCGCGCAAUGGCGAGGGACAGGUCUCGCAUACCGCGAGGGUCAUUAUUGCUGGAGGAGCUGUUAUUACUAUGCCGCCAACGAAUCAAACAAAGUUAGAAGGAGAGAAGGUGCAGUUCUCAUGUGAAGCGAAGGCGUUGCCGGGCAACGUAACGGUGAAGUGGUUCCGCGAGGGUGCUCCGGUGGCCGAGGUCGCAGCCCUGGAGACACGCGUCACUAUCCGGAGAGAUGGGGCUCUGGUCAUCAACCCGGUGGCGGCAGAUGACUCGGGACAGUAUCUGUGUGAAGUGUCCAACGGGAUCGGAGACCCUCAAAGUGCUUCGGCCUAUUUGAAUGUUGAAUAUCCAGCGAAAGUUACGUUUACUCCAACCGUGCAGUACCUCCCAUUCCGUCUGGCGGGUGUCGUGCAGUGCUACAUAAAGGCCAACCCUCCCCUCCAAUACGUGACCUGGACGAAGGACAAGCGGCUGCUGGAGCCGUACCAGACAAAGGACAUCGUCAUCAUGAACAACGGCUCCUUGCUCUUCACGCGGGUCAACCAGAACCAUCAGGGUCGCUAUACUUGUACACCUUAUAACGCGCAGGGAACCCAAGGCUCUUCUGGUCCGAUGGAAGUGUUAGUUCGUAAACCACCAGUGUUCACAGUGGAACCGGAACCCCUGUACCAAAGAAAGGUGGGCGAGUCAGUGGAGAUGCACUGCGAGGCGCAGGAGGCGGAGGGCACGCAGCGGCCGUCGGUGCUGUGGCGGCGGCGCGACGGGCUGCCGCUGCAGAAGGCGCGCGUGCGGGCGCUGGGCGGCAACAUCACCAUCGACACGCUGCGCCGCCAGGACUUCGGCAUCUACCAGUGCGUCGCCUCCAACGAGGUGGCAACGAUAGUAGCGGACACGCAGCUGGUGAUCGAGGGCACGCAGCCGCACGCGCCGUACAACGUGUCGGGCACGGCCACCGAGUUCCAGGUGACGCUGCGCUGGCAGCCGGGCUACGCGGGCGGGCCCGACUACAAGCAGGACUACACCAUCUGGUACCGCGAGGCCGGCUUCUCCGAGUGGACUAAGGUGCCCGUCACGCCCUCCGGUGCUACCUCUGUCACAAUAAACCGGCUGCAGCCUGGCACCACGUAUGAGUUUCAAGUGAACAGCAAGAAUACAAUAGGAGAAGGAAUGAUGAGUAAAGCUAUUACGAUAAGAACUCUCGAUGUAGGCGCCAAACCGAAGGCGGCACCGACCCCGGCGGGGCCUGUAGACGAAAAGAUAUUCCAAAACGCACCCGAAGGCUCUGGUCCGAAGUCUGGUCCUCCUCGGAACCUGACAGUGACGGAGGUGCACAACGGGUUCCUGAUCACGUGGCAGGCGCCGUUAGAGCGCUCGCACCUGGUGCAGUACUACACCAUCAAGUACCGCACCGACGCGCAGUGGAAGACCCUCAACCGAGGACAGAUACGCCCUGAGGAGACCAGCUAUUUGGUAAAAAAUCUAGUGGGUGGUCGUACAUAUUACUUCCGCGUGCUCGCCAACUCAGCGACGAGCUACGAGAGUUCCGAGGAAGUGAAGUUCCCGGUGCCGGCGCGGGUGAAGCACAAAGCCAUCACGGCGGGCGUGGUGGGCGGGAUCCUGUUCUUCAUCGUCGCCAUCAUCCUGUCGGUGUGCGCCGUCAAGAUCUGCAACAAGCGCAAGCGACGCAAGCAGGAGAAAGAAAUUAUUCGAUUGCAGCAUACAACAUGGUAGCCGCGCGACUGACAGACCUCCGCGCCGCUGAUAGCACUCAAGUGCCUUUUAAGAAAUUUAGAGAACGCGGAAUAUCGAGUAUAGUGCAGUGUUUGCGGUUUACUGCUAACUGGGUGUGGCCGGCGUCGCGCUGCGGCGGCGAGGCGCGCUACUGGGUGUCGGUGCGGCGCGUGUCGCCCGC
rnacentral:misc_RNA from 1 species